rnacentral:rRNA from 1 species
AGGGGAGCCGGAGGGAAACCGAGUCUUAACCGGGCGUUAAGUUGCAGGGUAUAGACCCGAAACCCGGUGAUCUAGCCAUGGGCAGGUUGAAGGUUGGGUAACACUAACUGGAGGACCGAACCGACUAAUGUUGAAAAAUUAGCGGAUGACCUGUGGCUGGGGGUGAAAGGCCAAUCAAACCGGGAGAUAGCUGGUUCUCCCCGAAAGCUAUUUAGGUAGCGCCUCGUGAAUUCAUCUCCGGGGGUAGAGCACUGUUUCGGCUAGGGGGCCAUCCCGGCUUACCAACCCGAUGCAAACUGCGAAUACCGGAGAAUGUUAUCACGGGAGACACACGGCGGGUGCUAACGUCCGUCGUGAAGAGGGAAACAACCCAGACCGCCAGCUAAGGUCCCAAAGUCAUGGUUAAGUGGGAAACGAUGUGGGAAGGCCCAGACAGCCAGGAUGUUGGCUUAGAAGCAGCCAUCAUUUAAAGAAAGCGUAAUAGCUCACUGGUCGAGUCGGCCUGCGCGGAAGAUGUAACGGGGCUAAACCAUGCACCGAAGCUGCGCAGCGAACGUAUCACCCAAGACAACUUUACGGAGUUGACGAUUGACGGAGCGAAGCGACGUCAAAGCGUUCAUUAAAGUCGAGUUGGCUUAGGGAUACGUUCGUUGGGUAGGGGAGCGUUCUGUAAGCCUGUGAAGGUGUGUCGUGAGGCAUGCUGGAGGUAUCAGAAGUGCGAAUGCUGACAUAAGUAACGAUAAAGCGGGUGAAAAGCCCGCUCGCCGGAAGACCAAGGGUUCCUGUCCAACGUUAAUCGGGGCAGGGUGAGUCGACCCCUAAGGCGAGGCCGAAAGGCGUAGUCGAUGGGAAACGGGUUAAUAUUCCCGUACUUGGUGUUACUGCGAAGGGGGGACGGAGAAGGCUAUGUUGGCCGGGCGACGGUUGUCCCGGUUUAAGCGUGUAGGUGUGUGUUCCAGGUAAAUCCGGUUCACUUUAACACUGAGGCGUGACGACGAGGCACUACGGUGCUGAAGCACAAAUGCCCUGCUUCCAGGAAAAGCCUCUAAGCAUCAGGUAACACGAAAUCGUACCCCAAACCGACACAGGUGGUCAGGUAGAGAAUACCAAGGCGCUUGAGAGAACUCGGGUGAAGGAACUAGGCAAAAUGGUGCCGUAACUUCGGGAGAAGGCACGCUGACACGUAGGUGAAGUGAUUUACUCAUGGAGCUGAAGUCAGUCGAAGAUACCAGCUGGCUGCAACUGUUUAUUAAAAACACAGCACUGUGCAAACACGAAAGUGGACGUAUACGGUGUGACGCCUGCCCGGUGCCGGAAGGUUAAUUGAUGGGGUCAGCGUAAGCGAAGCUCCUGAUCGAAGCCCGGUAAACGGCGGCCGUAACUAUAACGGUCCUAAGGUAGCGAAAUUCCUUGUCGGGUAAGUUCCGACCUGCACGAAUGGCGUAAUGAUGGCCAGGCUGUCUCCCACCCGAGACUCAGUGAAAUUGAACUCGCUGUGAAGAUGCAGUGUACCCGCGGCAAGACGGAAAGACCCCGUGAACCUUUACUAUAGCUUGACACUGAACAUUGAGCCUUGAUGUGUAGGAAUAGGUGGGAGGCUUUGAAGUGUGGACGCCAGUCUGCAUGGAGCCGACCUUGAAAUACCACCCUUUAAUGUUUGAUGUUCUAACGUGGACCCGUAAUCCGGGUUGCGGACAGUGUCUGGUGGGUAGUUUGACUGGGGCGGUCUCCUCCUAAAGAGUAACGGAGGAGCACGAAGGUUGGCUAAUCCUGGUCGGACAUCAGGAGGUUAGUGCAAUGGCAUAAGCCAGCUUGACUGCGAGCGUGACGGCGCGAGCAGGUGCGAAAGCAGGUCAUAGUGAUCCGGUGGUUCUGAAUGGAAGGGCCAUCGCUCAACGGAUAAAAGGUACUCCGGGGAUAACAGGCUGAUACCGCCCAAGAGUUCAUAUCGACGGCGGUGUUUGGCACCUCGAUGUCGGCUCAUCACAUCCUGGGGCUGAAGUAGGUCCCAAGGGUAUGGCUGUUCGCCAUUUAAAGUGGUACGCGAGCUGGGUUUAGAACGUCGUGAGACAGUUCGGUCCCUAUCUGCCGUGGGCGCUGGAGAACUGAGGGGGGCUGCUCCUAGUACGAGAGGACCGGAGUGGACGCAUCACUGGUGUUCGGGUUGUCAUGCCAAUGGCACUGCCCGGUAGCUAAAUGCGGAAGAGAUAAGUGCUGAAAGCAUCUAAGCACGAAACUUGCCCGAGAUGAGUUCUCCCUGAGACUUAGAGUCUCCUGAAGGAACGUUGAAGACGACGACGUUGAUAGGCCGGGUGUGUAAGCGCAGCGAUGCGUUGAGCUAACCGGUACUAAUGAACCGUGAGGCUUAACCUU